rnacentral:rRNA from 1 species
AUUGAACGCUGGCGGCAUGCCUUACACAUGCAAGUCGAACGGCAGCACGGGUGCUUGCACCUGGUGGCGAGUGGCGAACGGGUGAGUAAUACAUCGGAACAUGUCCUGUAGGGGGGGAAAGCCGGGCGAAAACGGGAUUAAAACCCCAAAAGAACUACGGAUGACAGGGGGGGACCUUAGGACCUGGCGUUGCAGGGUUACCAGAUGGAUGUUUGGUUAGUUGGCGGGGUAAAGGCCUACCAAGGCGACGAUCAGUAGCUGGUUUGAGAGGACGACCAGCCACACUGGGACUGAGACACGGCCCAGACUCCUACGGGAGCCAGCAGUGGGGAAUUUUGGACAAUGGGCGAAAGCCUGAUCCAGCAAUGCCGCUUGUGUGAAGAAGUCCUUCGGGUUGUAAAGCAUUUUUGUCCGGAAAGAAAUCCUUGGCCCUAAUACGGUCGGGGGAUGACGGUACCGGAAGAAUAAGCACCGGCUAACUACGUG